UGCCCAGCUUGCUGGGUGGAUUAGUGGCGAACGGGUGAGUAACACGUGAGUAACCUGCCCCUGACUUCGGGAUAAGCGCUGGAAACGGCGUCUAAUACCGGAUAUGAGCCGUCCUCGCAUGGGGGUGGUUGGAAAGUUUUUCGGUCAGGGAUGGGCUCGCGGCCUAUCAGCUUGUUGGUGGGGUGAUGGCCUACCAAGGCGACGACGGGUAGCCGGCCUGAGAGGGCGACCGGCCACACUGGGACUGAGACACGGCCCAGACUCCUACGGGAGGCAGCAGUGGGGAAUAUUGCACAAUGGGCGAAAGCCUGAUGCAGCGACGCCGCGUGAGGGAUGACGGCCUUCGGGUUGUAAACCUCUUUCAGCAGGGAAGAAGCGCAAGUGACGGUACCUGCAGAAGAAGCGCCGGCUAACUACGUGCCAGCAGCCGCGGUAAUACGUAGGGCGCAAGCGUUGUCCGGAAUUAUUGGGCGUAAAGAGCUCGUAGGCGGUUUGUCGCGUCUGGUGUGAAAACUCGAGGCUCAACCUCGAGCUUGCAUCGGGUACGGGCAGACUAGAGUGCGGUAGGGGAGACUGGAAUUCCUGGUGUAGCGGUGGAAUGCGCAGAUAUCAGGAGGAACACCGAUGGCGAAGGCAGGUCUCUGGGCCGCAACUGACGCUGAGGAGCGAAAGCAUGGGGAGCGAACAGGAUUAGAUACCCUGGUAGUCCAUGCCGUAAACGUUGGGCACUAGGUGUGGGGCUCAUUCCACGAGUUCCGUGCCGCAGCAAACGCAUUAAGUGCCCCGCCUGGGGAGUACGGCCGCAAG
rnacentral:rRNA from 1 species